CUUCGCUGACGAGUGGCGGACGGGUGAGUAAUGUCUGGGAAACUGCCUGAUGGAGGGGGAUAACUACUGGAAACGGUAGCUAAUACCGCAUAACGUCGCAAGACCAAAGAGGGGGACCUUCGGGCCUCUUGCCAUCGGAUGUGCCCAGAUGGGAUUAGCUAGUAGGUGGGGUAACGGCUCACCUAGGCGACGAUCCCUAGCUGGUCUGAGAGGAUGACCAGCCACACUGGAACUGAGACACGGUCCAGACUCCUACGGGAGGCAGCAGUGGGGAAUAUUGCACAAUGGGCGCAAGCCUGAUGCAGCCAUGCCGCGUGUAUGAAGAAGGCCUUCGGGUUGUAAAGUACUUUCAGCGGGGAGGAAGGGAGUAAAGUUAAUACCUUUGCUCAUUGACGUUACCCGCAGAAGAAGCACCGGCUAACUCCGUGCCAGCAGCCGCGGUAAUACGGAGGGUGCAAGCGUUAAUCGGAAUUACUGGGCGUAAAGCGCACGCAGGCGGUUUGUUAAGUCAGAUGUGAAAUCCCCGGGCUCAACCUGGGAACUGCAUCUGAUACUGGCAAGCUUGAGUCUCGUAGAGGGGGGUAGAAUUCCAGGUGUAGCGGUGAAAUGCGUAGAGAUCUGGAGGAAUACCGGUGGCGAAGGCGGCCCCCUGGACGAAGACUGACGCUCAGGUGCGAAAAGCGUGGGGGAGCAAACAGGGAUUAGAAUACCCCUGGGUAGUCCCACGCCCGUAAAACGAAUGUCCAACUUGGAAAGGUUGGUGCCCCUUGAGGGCGGGGCUUUCCGGAAGCUUAACGCCGUUAAAGUCCAACCGCCCUGGGG
rnacentral:rRNA from 1 species